GCGAGGAUGGCGGAACAGGCAGACGCGCUGGAUUUAGGAUCCAGUGAGGUAACUCAUGGGGGUUCAACUCCCCCUCCUCGCA
rnacentral:tRNA from 1 species